AUUGAAAGAGUUGGAGGUUAGAAGUAGGGAGAUAAAGCGAAUAAUAGAGACAGCAGGUGGUUUCAGUUCUGGGGUUAAUGGUUAGGGCUCAUGAGACGGUAGUGGAAGAGUGGUGGUUUGAAACUGAGAUGGCGGAAUCGAUGGGUUGAAGGUGAAUAGAUGGUGGUGAUUGAAGCUGUAGGUUUGAUUCCGGCCGGAUUAGGGUUCUGAAAGGGCAGCGAUGCUGACUAAUUAGACUAAGGUCAAUGAGGCUGAUUGCGGCAAUAGUAACGUUUUCCGAUGCCAUAUGCUGUAGAAUACGGGCCUAUAAAGAUUAUUCUAAUGGUUAGAUAUUAGGGGUUCUGUGGUUCAAAUACUUCAUCUACAUUCUGUUUUUCUUUAAUUCUACUCUCCACUUGUAAAUCCCGUAGAUAGGUGAGCUCCAACGAACCAUGAAACAAUCGAUUCUGGUGGCAAUGGUGCGUCAUAAGUCCAGAUCGAGGACAACAGGAGUGGUAUCACCAAAAAUUGGCAGGUUAAUGACACGGUCACCAAAAUCCAAAUGUACUCAUACUCCAGAUGGUGCCAUUUUCAGGAAAGAAGUAGCGCAUAAAUGGGCAUUAAGUUCGAAUUUCCAAGUUAGACAACUUGAUCGAGUUCGAUGCUGAAUAACUUACCAUGGCCGGCUGUCGGAAUUACCAAUGCUAUUGUGGUGCUUCUGCUGAAUAACUUCCUAUUCCUAACAUGGACUUACCUAUUGUGUCCAUAGUUGCAAGUCAUAGAGGUGGUAAAAUGUCUGUGGGUCAAUCUGCAAUCGGGAAGACCACCUAAAGCUCAAAGAAAAAAACACAUGUUCCAGGCUACAAGUAAAUGGAACCUGAUUGGGCUAAAGCUGGGUUACAAGUGCAAACAGGAAGAUGCCCCUGAUCCAAUGGUGAAGCAUUGUUUGGCCAAAGGCUAACCACUCAUGUCAUACAACUAGAGGUUGCGUACUUUAUUAGCAGCCACCAUCGUGGUCGAGGAUGUUACCGUUAACCUCACCAGACACUAAUCAAAUAGAUUGUAUGUUAGGAAGCAUAAGUUAGUUGUUUUGCAAUUACUUAACUAUGUAAACUUAACCAUAAAAUACUGACUAGCAUGGAAAUCGAAAACAUAACACCAUGAAAAAUUGAGAACACCGCUCUUUUGUGUUUGGAGCCUUACACGAAAUCUAAUUACUUUCACUUUUGGUGCCA